GCCCGGCUAGCUCAGUCGGUAGAGCAUGAGACUCUUACUCUCAGGGUCGUGGGUUCAAACCCCACGUUGGGCG
rnacentral:tRNA from 1 species